rnacentral:tRNA from 1 species
GGGGACAUAGUAUAACUUGGCUAGUAUAGAUGGCUCCAGACCGUCGGAUUUGGGUUCAAAUCCCAAUGUCCCCA